rnacentral:rRNA from 1 species
GUCUAUAGCCAUACCACCCUGAACAAGCCCGAUGUCUGAUCUCGGAAGCUAAGCAGGGUCCAGCCUGGUUAGUAUUUGGAUGGGAGACCACCUAGGAAGACCAGGUGCCAUAGGCA